CUACGGGCGGCAGCAGUGGGGAAUAUUGGACAAUGGGCGCAAGCCUGAUCCAGCAAUGCCGCGUGAGUGAAGACGGCCUUAGGGUUGUAAAACUCUUUCGCUAGGGAAGAUAAUGACUGUACCUAGUAAAGAAGUCCCGGCUAACUCCGUGCCAGCAGCCGCGGUAAUACGGAGGGGACUAGCGUUGUUCGGAAUUACUGGGCGUAAAGAGUUCGUAGGCGGACUGACAAGUUAGAGGUGAAAUCCCAGGGCUCAACCCUGGAACUGCCUUUAAAACUGUCAGUCUAGAGACCGGAAGAGGUUAGGGGAAUACCUAGUGUAGAGGUGAAAUUCGUAGAUAUUAGGUUGAACACCAGUGGCGAAGGCGCCUAACUGGUCCGGUACUGACGCUGAGGAACGAAAGCGUGGGGAGCAAACAGGAUUAGAUACCCUUGUAGUC
rnacentral:rRNA from 1 species